GUCACCGAAAGGUCUAUAAAUAAUAAAAAUAUCGAUUUUCCGAUUAUCGUAUUUUUUAUUAGUUUAUUAUCUUGCAAAUCGUUUUUCGAAGUUUGGUUUUAAUAAACAUAUCGUUUUUACAUUGAAAAUAUGUUUAAAAGGGGGUGGGGGUAAUCAUUUUCCUUGAAAACUUCACAAAAAUUGGUUGAUUUGCUGCGUUUAUAAGUUUGGAAUACACGAUACCAUGGUAUCAUGUUUGGUAUCGUCGGAAAGCUACGCAUUUCUUCUACCAGAAUUUCCCGGCCAAAACUAGAUCUAUUUAUAAUCAUUGACCUAAAAAGUCUUCAUUCACACACUCCCAUCUGUGCAAUGAUUGGCUAAUCCGUUGUUAGUAACAAUUCUGAGUAUUUUGAUUGGUCUCUGACCGCCAUCCUGCCUCGCGUUUACACUACCCCGGACAACAAUGCAUUGCGCGCAUGUCGAUUCAAGGCAUCGAAAUCCUUUGUUUUGUUUCAAGACUGACUGCAUUUUCUCUUUCAAAUUAGCGGUUUACUUUUGAUUUCGUCCAAUAAUGUAGUGCCAUCGUUCAAGCAAAAAGCUUCCCAAUGUUUCUAGCUAAGAAGAAAAUGACAAACAGAGGUCCUGAAGUGGAAAAUAGAUGACUCAGGCAUAUGAGAACUUUAGUAUGCUGGGUGCUACUCUACAGCCAGCAAAGAGAUUCAGGAGAAAGAUGUAAGCGUAAGGAUGCCUUUUUCAAAAUGUAAUUUUUUCCUUCUCAGAAAAAGAGCUGCUUGAGUAUGCCAUACCCUCAACUUAUGCUCUGAGUCCCAGUCCAUGUUUAUCAAGCUCAAGUUCUAGUGUGCUACCUGCCAUUCAUGUCUGCUGUUGAAGAGUGAUAACAGCAAAAACUAUGAACUGUCAGUCUACGUGCAGGUAUAAUGCAACUCAUGUGAUGAGGUUGGGUCAUCCUGCGAUUUCGUGCGACUCUUGAACCUUCAAAAGGUUCAGAAACAUGAACUUGUGAAAAUCUGUGCCAUUAGGGUGAACAAGGCUUAGAAAUCCCUGAUAUCAAUUCAGUAUCAGGUAUUCAUGAGGAAGGUAAGGUUGGCUAAACAAAAUGAAAGUGAUAGGAUUGCCGUAAUGCAUGGAGCGGGUGGGGGAGUAAGUAAAAAAUGUAAGCCUGGUGGAGAUUAUAUAUGUUAAGAAAAUGUAAACAAUCAAUGAAAGUUAUUAACUGUUUGUUAACAUAUUUGUAUUAUUAUUGUUGCAUGAUAAAAUGUGUCAUAGUAUGUUAAAAAAGGAAAUUCGUUAAUUUUUUAAUAAUUUUUUUAAGGGGGGUGCAUUGUUUUAUGUGCUCUAAGUAAGGGUAAAUUAUUUUAAAUGAUUAUGAAACCAUGCUUUUCUAUAUCACAGGUGAAGUGCCUUGUGAAAAUAUGUAUUGUUUUGUUCUUGUGAUGUUAACCUGUUAUCAGAAAUUUGAAAUUAAACCUAUUUUUCUGUUUUUCGGAAAAUAAAUUUUUUUAACGCAUA